GCGCUCGCUUUGGCAGCACAUAUACUAAAAUUGGAACAAUACAGUGAAGGUUAGCGUGGCCCCUGUGCAAGGGUGACACACAAAUAUGUGAAGCAUUCCAUAUUUUU
ensembl:snRNA U6 U6 spliceosomal RNA